rnacentral:rRNA from 1 species
CCUACGGGCGGCUGCAGUAAGGAAUAUUGGUCAAUGGACGAAAGUCUGAACCAGCCAUCCCGCGUGCAGGAUGAAGGUCCUAUGGAUUGUAAACUGCUUUUAGCAGAGAAGAAAAGCAUUCAUUUAUGAGUGUCUGACGGUAUCUGCGGAAUAAGCACCGGCUAACUCCGUGCCAGCAGCCGCGGUAAUACGGAGGGUGCAAGCGUUAUCCGGAAUCACUGGGUUUAAAGGGUGCGUAGGCGGAAUAUUAAGUCAGUGGUGAAAGCCUGUCGCUUAACGAUAGAACUGCCAUUGAUACUGAUAUUCUUGAAUUGGGUUGAGGUUAGCGGAAUGUGACAUGUAGCGGUGAAAUGCAUAGAUAUGUCAUGGAACACCAAUUGCGAAGGCAGCUAGCUGGGCCUUGAUUGACGCUGAGGCACGAAAGCGUGGGUAGCGAACAGGCUUAGAUACCCGAGUAGUC